rnacentral:rRNA from 1 species
CCAGACUCCUACGGGAGACAGCAGUGGGGAAUAUUGCACAAUGGGGGAAACCCUGAUGCAGCGACGCCGCGUGAGCGAAGAAGUAUUUCGGUAUGUAAAGCUCUAUCAGCAGGGAAGAAAUUGACGGUACCUGAGUAAGAAGCUCCGGCUGAAUACGUGCCAGCAGCCGCGGUAAUACGUAUGGAGCAAGCGUUAUCCGGAUUUACUGGGUGUAAAGGGAGCGUAGGCGGCCUGCCAAGUCUGAUGUGAAAUACCGGGGCUCAACCCCGGGGCUGCAUUGGAAACUGGCAGGCUGGAGUGUCGGAGAGGCAGGCGGAAUUCCUGGUGUAGCGGUGAAAUGCGUAGAUAUCAGGAGGAACACCGGCGGCGAAGGCGGCCUGCUGGACCGUGACUGACGUUGAGGCUCGAGAGCGUGGGGAGCAAACAGGAUUAGAUACCCGCGUACA